CUCAGAGAGCACGGGCGGUAUAUCUGCCACCAGGGCUGUUUCAGCCGUGAGAGCGCGCGGUUUCACGUCGCCCUCGUAGACGACAGCGAUGGUGGCGGUUGUGCAGACGACGUGGCCAUACACAAGUCGACCCCGUGGCAAGAGCACGCCGUGAAACCAUUGUCGUGGAUGGAUGCCGUUGACGAGGCCGUGGCCGUGCGGCAGACCACGCGACCAGGGACCCUCAUAGGUCGUGCCGCAUUCAAAGCGAGCAACCGCGUGGCCGUGCGGCACGCCGCGAACCCAGUGACCAUCAAAGGUCUCAAGGCACGCGAGGAACCGCCCGAUAGCGCAGACGCGCAGGCGUCGGGCGCACGACGCGCAUGGGUCUUCCCGCGCACCGCACCUGCAAUCAUCGCUAAACCGACACUGCUGACAUCGUUGUGCCGCGUGUUCGCACGCACAAGGGUGGUCCGCUCGGCGCCGUUGUGGCCUAUUGCGCUGUCGGCACGGCCGGCAGCGGCACGUCACGGAGAAGCCGCGUGUGGUGAGCGCGGCAGCCAUGAGCCUACUUGACCGGUCGACGUGCCAUUCGCCACGACGCAAAAUGCCUCGGCCAUCAAGGAGGUCGUCCGUAAAGUGGCCCUCCAUAAACACCGCGGGCUGGCACACGAGAGGCCUUGGAUUGGUCGAUUGCGCAAACAAUCGGCCUGGCUCGUGCUGGGCGGCGCACACGACGCCGUAGCCAUUGAGCCGGCCCAUGACGAGUCGACCGCACACGACAUCGCCCGAGACCAAGAGACCCUCACAUGAUGUCUUGUAGGUGGGGCCGUCAAUGUAGCCGGUCGCCGCUUCGUUGACUGCGCAUGUGGCAGUGCGCGAGACCCUCGCGUACACGCGCAUCCAGCGCACGCCAAACUCGUCGGGCAUUGUGUGAAGGUCGGCCCAGGCCCUUCCAAAGUGGCGACGCACGAGCACCCGCCACAUGGCGUCGUCGUCAACCAGUGUCGCUGCCAUCGUGCGACAGGUCGCCGCGAGCGACGCUGCGUCGUUGAUGCCCAACGUGGCGUCUCCCAAGAGAGCACCGACGACUCGCCAGACGACUUCGUGCGGCAUGUCGACGAGCCCACAAGAGGGACCGGCCAAGGAGGACCCAUUAACCGCCAUCUGUCGACGGGCUUGAUGUGCAAUCGGGCAGCGCGGUCUGUUUUGCUUUUGGGGUGUUUGUUUGCUUUGGCGUGGCUCGCUUGGCACCACGAGCCUUUUGCUGCCGACGGCGGCGGCGGCGGCGAUGGGUCCAACAUAGGGCCAGCCAACCCACGCUGAGCGGCUGCACCCGCGAACCGAAAGCCAACCACAAACAAGGAAAGAAAAAGAGCG
rnacentral:lncRNA from 1 species